rnacentral:lncRNA from 1 species
CGAGAAAAAUGGAAAUAACUCCAUGGUGGGGUUGCCUCCUCCUUCCCCUUGGCUCCUGUGGUGGAUUUGGCCACGCUUGCAGAAGACAGAAAGGAGGAGGGCACUGGAAAUGACAAGGGGAGAGAGUAGAGCUGGACAGGAUCAGUGCUCUAUCUCCCAAGACAGGCUGCAGCACUCUCUGGUUUAGAGCAACCCGUGGGUCAGCACCAUCACCCGCUCUGUGUGGCAAUCACUCCUGGGGUGCUGCCCUCCUCCAGCCACGGCAGAAAGCACUUGCAUUACAUCAGCUGCUAACUGGAAUUAGUGGAAAUAAUUGGGUCACCUCCUAAGCAGCUGGAAAGCAUUGCAAUUUUGGUGUCAUGAAGCUGAUUGGCACCAGCAGAACCUUCCUAUGCAGAUGUAGGUAAAGCCUAGAUCCAGCAAGUCUGACUUCACACGGCACAUUCAACUGCUGCCUCUCGCCCGCUCCCCUGCGAAACCCAGAGAAUGGCUGGGGUAAGUCUUGUUUUUGCAAGGGUGCCAGCCCUAACCCGAGCCCAUCCCAGCUUUUUAUUGAACAACU